rnacentral:rRNA from 1 species
CAAGUCGAACGAUGAAACCGCCCUCGGGCGGACAUGAAGUGGCGAACGGGUGAGUAACACGUGACCAACCUGCCCCUUGCUCCGGGACAACCUUGGGAAACCGAGGCUAAUACCGGAUACUCCUCGCCCCCCUCCCUGGGGGGGCCCGGGGAAAGCCCAGACGGCAAGGGAUGGGGUCGCGGCCCAUUAGGUAGUAGGCGGGGUAACGGCCCACCUAGCCCGCGAUGGGUAGCCGGGUUGAGAGACCGACCGGCCACAUUGGGACUGAGAUACGGCCCAGACUCCUACGGGAGGCAGCAUG